rnacentral:tRNA from 1 species
GACCGUGUGCCCGAGAGGCUCAGGGGGGGCUCGACUGCAACUCGAGUUACACCGGUUCGAAUCCGUCACGGUCUCCA